AACGCACCAGCCACAAGGGGCUGGUGUGCCCUCCAUAUGGGCCAGUCAAGGAGGAGAAGAAAAGAGGGGAAUAGGAUUACCCCUUCCUUCUCCCUCCCCAUCUCUUUCCUUCCCCCUUCGAUAUAUAUGGCAAGGGGCACGCGGCUUUGGAGGAGCCAUUCGGUUCUAUUUGGGGCGCCUCCUGGCCUCUCCUCCUCUUACCUUUAUAGGACAACAUUAUUCUAAUUCUGGGAUCAGAAUAGAUCAGACCCUGUAUAGGCCCGAUUAGGUGUUCCCGAGAUUCCAGAAAAUGCCCACCAGUCCCGCACCUCCCUCCCGCAGCUCGCUCUCCCCCGAUUCCUCCUCCUGCGACGAACUCGCCGCCCCGCCCUCGAUCUGCCCCCUCCCCCCCGCGCCCUGCCUCAAGAUCAGGCCGUCGCGCCGACACCGACCCCCGGAUCAGGCCGCCCCGGCGCCACCGGUCUUGGAUCCGGCCGCCGCGCUGCCUGCCUCUGCUCCUCACCUGUCCGCCUCCGCGCCCGCACGAGGGGAUGCCAAGCCCUCGUGCUCCUCGAUCGACAGCCACAGGGGGGCCUCCCGCGCACCUUCCCUUCCUCUCCUUCCUUCUCCCUCACACCCUCUCUCUCUGUUCUCCUGCAGGUACCCGCCAUGGCCAUCAUGGAAAACAGCCAUGCGGCAGGAGCUCGCCACCGAAGUCCCCCGAGCACCGUACGCCCCGAAUCUGGCCGGGAACCGGACGAGGUCGAGCCCUCGCGCCCAGAUCCGCUGCAGCAACCUGGAAGUUUGCCGCCGCCACCUCGGGCGGUUCAACUGACGCGCCGCCGCCCUCACCUCCCUCCCCGACAGACGCGCCGUCGUGACUCCACCUCCUGGCUAGGCCACCGCGAGCCUCCACCUCCCGGCUUCCCGGCGCCACCCCGUUGGCCUCCCCCGCGGCCCCGCUUAAUCAAGCCCCGCCGUCUUCCCCGUGCGAGCCAACCAGGCCAGACGGCCACCCCCGCAAGCACCCGUCCUCGGUGUUCACUUGGUGGAGACUAGGAGCAGCGACAGAGACGCCGCCCCGAGGCGGAAUCCCUGCCUCCGCUUGGUUCCGUCCACAGCAGCACACCACAUCUCCCCCGUCGUCCACCUGCCAUGUUCAUGUCCACAGCUUCCAUUUCAGCCGUUGAAGCUGUAGAUGGAGCGCGACAUGCAGCAGUGUCGCCCCAACAGGCAUGCAACGCCGACGACGACAGGGUGUGGCGUGCGUCUGUCCGGCAUGCUGGGCGUGGUGCCGAGGGGGCAGCAGUUUGAAUUGGCCGGGGGUUAAAGUUCAGGUAAUGCUAUUGUCUGGUGGCAAAGGACCAUGCAGGCUGUUUCGUUACUGAAAAAACGCGUGACGCAAGGAACAAGAUUUUUUCAAUAAACUCCUACUCUUAUUCUUUUCCCCUUCGGCUUUCUCUGCCAUGGAUGUGUGCAUGCGUGCUAUGUGCGUGAGUGCGCUACAGCAAUUUGUGUAAAAGAAGCAUUUUCAAUUGGGCAAAAUUAGUUGAUGGUUGUCGAAGUUCAGACAUUUUAA